rnacentral:tRNA from 1 species
GUGCCCGUGACCGAACGGCGAGGUAGCGGCCUGCAAAGCCGCCGAUGCGGGUUCGACUCCCGCCGGGCACUCCA